rnacentral:tRNA from 1 species
GGGCAUGUGGUGAAAUUGGUAUACACGCUAGCUUCAGGUGCUAGUGGCAGCAAUGUUGUGAGAGUUCGAGUCUCUCCAUGCCCA